AGUUUGUCUUACUGUACGUUGGAACAUGAGUGAGCAGCUUGUGUAAAUGACGCUGGGACAGUUUCGUGCUCGGUGGCUCUGCACUGUGAACGUCAACGAGGCCUAUUUCGGCCCAGGAACCAAAGUGACUGUUGUGGAGGAAGGACAUGAUAUCACUCCACCAAAAGUCAACCUGUUUUCACCUUCGGAAAAAGAGUGUCUAAAGGAUAACAGAGACAAGCAGAAGAAGAAGACGCUGGUGUGUUUGGCCAGCGACUUCUACCCGGACCACGUCACCGUGUCCUGGCUGCAUAACGGAGAGGUGGUGACGGACGGCGUGGCCACCGACGCCGCCGCCGAAAGGGAUGGCAAGUUCUACAGGAUCACCAGCAGGCUGACGGUCCCCAUCAAGAUGUGGUUCAAGACGGAAAGCGAGUUCACCUGCAAUGUGAACUUCUAUAACGGCUCAAAAUACACAGAUCACACGGCCAGUAUUACUGGAGAGAAAGCUCCUGAUGUAGGCGUAUGGACAAAUGAAAACUAUUUGAAGAUGGUAAAUAAGAUGAAACUCUCCUACGUUGUCAUCACCGUGAAGAGCUGCGCGUACGGAGCCUUCAUCGUGUUCCUGGUGUGGAAGCUCCAGGGGUCAAAAGGGAAGUAGAACCACCGGGAGCUGAGCCCUACGUGACGCCGUGUAAAUAAGGAUUCUUAUAAUGUUGGAGUAACUUCAUCCAGUUCUGUGUUUACUCUUAUGCUGAAACGUUUUCCAGUCUCCAGUUUGUAGUUUUUAUAGUUACUGUACUUCAUCGCUGUGAAAUGCUUGUGCAAAGGUUCUUUCAAUAAAAUAUUUCAGAUUUUGGGAAAA